AUGCAAGACUGUAAUCCGGAAAACCAGCUUGAAAGCAUCUGGAUAAGAAUCAAGGGAACCGGGACUCAAAAAGAUCUUGUCGUGGGUGUCUACUACAGACCUCCGAGUCAGGAUGAAGGACUUGAUGAAGCCUUCUGUCAACAGCUGACCAAACAGGCACAAAGAAGAGAUAUAGUAGUCAUGGGCGAUUUCAAUUAUCCCGAUAUCUGCUGGAAAACAAACUCAGCCAAGAGUACAAAGUCCAACAAAUUCCUCACUUGCCUUGCAGACAAUUUUAUGGUCCAGAAGGUAGAAGAGGCAACAAGGGGAUCAGCAACUCUUGAUCUAAUCUUAACAAAUGUGGAAGACCUGAUCAAUACAGUUGAAGUGGUUGGAUCCUUAGGGGCAAGUGACCAUGUGCUCUUGCAGUUUGCAAUACAAAGGAAUGCUGAAACUAAGACAAGUCAAACACGCAUUCUGGACUUUAAGAGAGCUGACUUCCAAAAAAUGAAGGAAUUACUGAGUGGCCUUCCAUGGACGCCAAUAUUAAAAAACAAGGGAGUUAAGGAUGGAUGGGAGUUUUUCAAAAGUGAAAUAUUCAAGGCGCAAAUGCAAACAGUGCCAACAAAGAAGAAAAAUAAGACAAGUGCAAAGAAGCCAGAAUGGAUGUCCAAAGAACUUCUAACUGAGCUAAAGCUCAAAAAUGACAUGCACAAGAAGUGGAAAAGGGGAGAAAUCACCAAAGAAGAAUUCAAACGUAUAGCCAACACCUGUAGGGAAAAGGUUCGCAAGGCUAAAGCGCAAAAUGAGCUCAGGCUUGCCAGGGACAUAAAAAACAACAAAAAAGGCUUUUUUGCUUACAUUGGUAGAAAAAGGAAGAAAAAGGAGGCGAUAGGGCCACUGCAAGGAGAAGAUGGGGUGAUGGCGACAGAGGAUAGGGAAAAGGCAGAACUGCUGAAUGCCUUCUUUGCCUCAGUCUUCUCACAAAAAGAAAGCCAUCUUCAACCUCAGCAAAGUGGAAUGGACGAAGGAUUGGGGGAAAUCCAACUCCAAAUAGGGAAACAAGUUGUCCAGGAACACCUGGCCACUCUAAACGAAUUCAAGUCCCCAGGGUCAGAUCAGCUACAUCCAAGAGUAUUGAAGGAACUAGCGGAAGUUAUUUCAGAACCACUGGCAAUUAUCUUCGAGAGUUCUUGGAGAACGGGAGAAGUCCCAGCAGAUUGGAGGAGGGCAAAUGUGGUCCCUAUAUUCAAGAAGGAAAAAAAGAACAACCCAAACAAUUACCGUCUGGUCAGCCUCACAUCGAUACCAGGCAAGAUUCUGGAAAAGAUCAUUAAGGAAGUGGUCUGCGAACACUUAGAAACAAAUGCGGUCAUUGCUAAUAGUCAACACGGAUUUACCAAAAACAAGUCAUGCCAGACUAAUCUGAUCUCUUUUUUCGAUAGAGUUACGAGUUGGGUCGAUACAGGGAAUGCUGUGGAUGUAGCCUACCUGGAUUUCAGUAAGGCCUUCGACAAAGUCCCCCACGACCUUCUGGCAAAUAAACUAGUAAAAUGUGGGCUAGACAAAACUACGGUUAGGUGGAUCUGUAAUUGGCUAAGCAAACGAACCCAAAGGGUGCUCACCAAUGCGUCGUCUCCAUCAUGA
rnacentral:lncRNA from 1 species